rnacentral:tRNA from 1 species
GUAGGUUACGGAUACUUCGCCUAUUACGCGGGUGGUCGGGGGGUCGAAUCCCUCUCGGAGCUCCA